GACGUAGGGCGCGAGCGUUGUCCGGAUUUAUUGGGCGUAAAGAGCUCGUAGGCGGCUUGUCGCGUCGAAUGUGAAAUCUCAGGGCUCAACUCUGACAUUGCAUUCGAUACGGGCAGGCUAGAGUUCGGUAGGGGAGACUGGAAUUCCAGGUGUAGCGGUGAAAUGCGUAGAUAUCUGGAGGAACACCGGUGGCGAAGGCGGCAUCCUGGACCGACACUGACACUGAGGAGCGAAAGCCAGGGGAGCAAACGGG
rnacentral:rRNA from 1 species